UUUACUUUAGUGACUGAUUAGUUUAAAGGAAGGGAUGUUUUGAAACUAAACUGAGUUUGAAAGGAAAUAAUCCUUGUUGUCAAAGCUCAUGUGAUGUUAUUCAGGUGCACCCAAAUGUUAUGUAUUCCAGGUGUGCCCAGGCACCUGGCCAGCUUGACUGAGAACAGAGGUGUUUUCUUCAAAGCAGCAGAUUUACACAGUAAGGUUUUGAGAUGGUGUAGGUAUUUAAUCGCUGACCCUGCUGAGGGAUCUACCGGUGUGCCCGCACUGGGCUGCUGCAGUCGAUGCUGGAUCAGCAGAAGUAAACUGGUAAUUAUGAAAAAGAAAGUGAGAUGGAAGACAUUCCUUUUGAAAUUGCUCUCAUAUGGCUUCUCUACCACAAACUGCACUGCUCAGCUUAAGUGGGAACAGUUUGGUUGGCUUGAUAUGAGUGACUGAUCCUGCCAUCUUCAGAGAGUAAAUGACACUUCCAUCUUCACAGGUGGACUAGAAGAGAGAAAGAUAACAGGACGCCUUCAGCCCAUUGUAGGAAGAUAUUACGAUGCAAGAGGAUUCUUGUGCUGUUUUUCCUCAUGCCUGCGAUUACUCCUCUUAUCCUUGUUUUUAAGGUACUGGCAGGAUCUCAGCACAUCGGUUCGCUGAAGUUGCAGCUCCCAGUGACUUUAAUGGUACUGGCCACAUUCCUCACGGACUUCUGUUUGCCCUUUUUAUCAAGAGUUUAACGUUGCCCUUUCAGGGCACAUUUUUGCAAUCAUAAAUAUGUUCUUUCCGUUUACACAGUUGUGGUCUUGCAAGUGAUAACGGGCAGACAUGUUCACUUGAAACAUUUCUUACAGAAUAAACAGUAGCAGCCAAAGGUGAGGAUGAGAUUCUCAGUGCUUCGUUAGCACAGACGUACUGGGAAAAAGGCACUGAAAGCCCUGGAACCAAGCACACAAAGUGGGAUUCUUGGAAGGAAGCGUAAGCUGACACCUACCUAACAGGGUUAACAACAGGAAAGGUGUUCUAGGGGAAUGCCGCAGCCUUGCAGCAUUUAUUCAAAGUGGUACUGUUGUCACAGGCAACAGAUAACUACCGGUUCUCAUCUGGAAUACAUCUACACGCUGAAUUAACCAUGACCAUUGUGAGUGUCAACAUACCUGCGGUAGUGUAACCUGCUGUUCCUAUGUUGACUAGUACGGAUAUGAAAGUAACCACCUCCAAAGCCUUUCCUUGCUGAAAGUGUUUGGUUUUUUUUUUUUUCCAACUGCUAGAAUCACAUUUGCAUUUUGCUGGAGACUCUGUCUCGAUCUCCCUUCCUCCCUGCCACCCAGCAGCCACAGGAAUUCAGUUGCAUUCAGAACUCUUGAUGACCACCAAGGAAAGAACAAGAUCUGGUGGCUUAGAACUCUUUUAUUCUGGGGACUUUUUUUCCUGGGGAGGACUGAUCUCUAUAUGAAGGGGAAUCUGUUAUUCUUCAAAUUUUGAUUUGUUGCUUGUUUUUCAGGUAGUGAACUGAGCACUGAUGGCCUUGCUUUUGAAGUGGAAUAUGCUGUGUUGCAGCCUUGCGGCAGGACUUCAGCUCCUACACGCCGGCGUGUCUGCGGUGUCGUACUAGGAGCGGGCUGUGUUACUGGAGGUAGUGCCCGGUGAGCACCCGCCCUCAGUGUUGGUAGCAGGAUCAAGCAAGCUAUGAUUAUUAUUCGAUAGCAGUAUUUUAAGGGAAAAAAAAAAAUAUGAA